rnacentral:rRNA from 1 species
UACGGAGGGUGCAAGCGUUAUCCGGAUUUACUGGGUUUAAAGGGUGCGUAGGCGGGCCUUUAAGUCAGUGGUGAAAUCUCUGGGCUUAACCCAGAAACUGCCGUUGAUACUAUUUGUCUUGAAUAUCCUGGAGGUAGGCGGAAUAUGUCAUGUAGCGGUGAAAUGCUUAGAUAUGACAUAGAACACCGAUAGCGAAGGCAGCUUACUACAGGAUGAUUGACGCUGAGGCACGAAAGCGUGGGGAGCAAACAGG